rnacentral:rRNA from 1 species
AGAGUUUGAUCCUGGCUCAGAUUGAACGCUGGCGGUAUGCUUUACACAUGCAAGUCGAACGGAUCAAGAAGCUUGCUUCUUGGUUAGUGGCGAACGGGUGAGUAAUAUAUCGGAACAUAUCCGGAAGUGGGGGAUAACGUAGCGAAAGUUACGCUAAUACCGCAUAUGCCCUGAGGGGGAAAGGGGGGGAUCGCAAGACCUCUCGCUUUCGGAGUGGCCGAUAUCGGAUUAGCUAGAUGGUGAGGUAAUGGCUCACCAUGGCGACGAUCCGUAGCUGGUCUGAGAGGACGACCAGCCACACUGGAACUGAGACACGGUCCAGACUCCUACGGGAGGCAGCAGUGGGGAAUUUUGGACAAUGGGCGAAAGCCUGAUCCAGCCAUACCGCGUGAGUGAAGAAGGCCUUCGGGUUGUAAAGCUCUUUCAGCCGGAAAGAAAUCGCAUUCCUUAAUACGGGGUGUGGAUGACGGUACCGGAAGAAGAAGCACCGGCUAACUACGUGCCAGCCGCCGCGGU